rnacentral:ncRNA from 1 species
ACCGUUAUUGAGAGAUAACGCUGAACGCACAGAAGUCAGCAGAGGCCAUAGUAGCCGGAAGUUUUUUUGGCGAAGGGC